CCCUUAGAUGUCCCGGGCCGCACGCGCGCUACACUGAGUGUCUGAGAUACGAGUCUGCCUAGCCGGCGAGGUCUAGGUAAUCGCUGAAAGACACAUCAUCCUUGGGAUAGAUUAUUGCAGAUAUUAAUCUUGAACGAGGAAUUCCUAGUAAGCGCAAGUCAACAGCUUGCGUUGAUUACGUCCCUGCCCUUUGUGCACACCUCCCGUCGCUACUACUGAUUGGAUGUUUAAGCGAGGUUCUCGAACUGCUAGCGACUUAGCUUCGGUGAGGUCGCCGUGUGGGAAGUGAACCUAGCUUUGGUGUCUAGAGGAAGUAAAAGUCGUAUCA
rnacentral:rRNA from 1 species